GUUUGUUCCCCCAUACAGAGUAUCCUUCACUCGGAGAAGGGCAGUCAGUCAGACCACAGCCGGAAGUCGCAGCAGCGCCACUUGCGCUCCGUGGUCAGCUUGCCGCAGCCGUGUCAUACCCAUUCACGCUCCCCGAACGAGGUAUCGCCAUCUCCAAGGGGAGCACAGGCUUCAUCCUCACCGUCAGAAAGAGCCGUGAACCGAAGGCGCCACAGGCUCCGCCGAAGCAGCCUGUACCUGUCCUCUCCACGUCAUUCCCACCGCUCUGUGGCCGGUAAUCCAUCACGGGGCGGUGCGCCGCAGGAGUCGGACCCGACUGUAGGAACUGAAAGGCCCUAUCUUCCACAGCAAUGACAAUGACGGCCAGAUCGUUCCAUCUGCACACUGCAUCCAUUAACGCCGCAGCGUCAACAACCGAACUUCCCGCGCUUCCUGCUUCCUCACCUGGACCAACUACCACCAGCGACGCCAGACGUGACUUCACCAGGCCUCCGCCGCUCCCACAGCCUCUACCGGCAUCAUCUGCUCCCCCUGGUGGACCAGGUUGUAUCUCCCCCUGUGCCUGCUUCCUCUGUGUCUGACUCUUCUCAAGCUAUCACAGCUUUCUUUACAUCCUUGUGUCCGCAGGCUGCACAAACUCCCCUUGCACAUACAUUCUUUCAUCCCAUCAUCCCUUCUUCUUCCCUAUCUUCAGCCGCUCACAGCUACACGGCUUCUGUUCCCCCUCUUCCCACCAUAGCCAGCUCCUUAGCUCCAUCAGGAGCCCCAUUACAGUUAAAUCAAACUGGCUAUCCUCGACCUCCUCUUUUUCCUACUGACCUCUCCUUUAAACCCUCCCUCCCCAUCCCCACCCCCUCCCUUCCCCAAUACCCGAAAGUUUUCUCGCACAUCCUUAACAGUCUCAAUGAUUGCGUCAAGCUCACACUCAACUGAGCACCAUCUAAUUCAACUCUUUUGGGGGUCAAGAUCAGCUCGGCAGGAUAACGCUGAGACGGAACCCCCAUCCUGAGUCUCAUUCUGCUGGGCCACACUAUGCACAAAUAAUUAAUUCAAUGUUCAAACUUAUAUCCUUGUGUGGCGUGGUCCUUGCUAGUGAAAUUAAGUAAAGGGGUUAACUUAAAUUGGGGAGCAUGGCCAUGCCUUAACCACGCCCUCAAUCACCUGACAAACCUACUUAAACGUAGCCAGCCUACUCCAAUCGUUUGUCUGUGAUUCUUCAACCCACCCUCCCUCACCUUUCUCUAUCCCAUUUAACCUUUUUUCCUUAUCCCCUUCUACUCAACUUGUGCUGGCUUCUUCUAUGCCCUUGUCUACUUCCAGUUAAACCCGGGUCAGGAUCAGCUCAGCAGGAUAGCACUGAGACGGAACCCCCAUCCUGAGUCUCCUUCUGCUGGGCCACACAACACACAAAUAAUGCAUUAAAUGUUCAAACUUAUAUCCUUGUGUGGGGUGGUCCUUGCUAGUGAACUCUGGGUCUUCUUAAGCUCCACCCUCCUCUCCAGAUAUCAUCACCUCUGGUUCUAGAAAUCCAACAUGGCGACAACAAAGAAGAAGGAAUGGAUGACAUCACAGGGGUCUCGGCAACAGCGCUCUCCUCUUUCUCUCUCGCCGCUGCCCCCAGAUCGGAUGAGUAAAGGGACGCACGGAUUGAGACGAGCCAGGAGGGCACCCACACAUCUCUCCAUCACCCCCAUUGCCCCUCCCCUACAUGAAACCUGCCUACCACCUUCCUCUCAAUCCUGCAUCAGCGAACUCAAGGCCUCAACCAGGAGAAACAUUUCCCAGCACCAUCAGAUCAACCUCGCUCCUGUUGCUUUUACCUUUCAGAUUCUACUUUAUACACAAUAAUCUUAAUUAAACAUGUAGUCCACAAGCUUUCUAGAACAUUUCAGUGAGUUUUUCAAGAACAAGCACUCUGCUGCAAUUUUGUUCAGCUACACGGAGCUUCUUUUGAGUCUUCCAGCUCAGUGUUUUCUUCUUGCAGCAUGAAACUUGGAUUGUUUUGUUGACGUUUUCUCCUUGACCCUGUUUCCAGCAGCAUCUGUAGUCAGCAAAAAAUCUCCUGAAACAUACUGCACACUGCCUGCUCAGAACAUGUUCAACUCUGAAGUAAUUUUACCUCACUCACCAUAUUGAUCCGAAAAUAAGACGUUAUUUUUUCCCGAAAUACAUCUGAAAAAAAGUUGAAUCAUCUUAUAUUUGAGGAUUAGUCAUUUAAUUUGAAUAAUCAGUACAACAGAUGUAAAAACAGUGUCCCACUCAUGACUGAGGCUGCCCAUGAGUCACUGCUACCAUGCCAGGAAGAUGAAAGAUGGAGAGCCACGAUGAACUAUGCUGCAGUAAAGUAGGACAAGUUAACCAACCACUUUUGUACGACCUUUCUCCCUCAUGAUCAUGGAUUUAAAGAAAUUAUGGUUUACUGUUAGCCAAUUAAAGCUUGUGGGGCGCUGGUUUUAUUCAGAAGAUUCCUCAAAUCAAGACAAGUGACAGAUUGGUCAAAUGGUCAUGGGUCUGUAUCUCAUGUCUAUCAACACUACAAUAGACUGAUCUUAACUACAGUAAUAGUACGGCAGAGUGGUUAAAACAGAUUGUUUGGGAAAGAGCUGCACAGAAAUUGUACAUAGCUUAAUGCACUGAAAAGUGUCCCGCAGGAAGACCGUUCAAACCAGACUACAUCUCCUACACUAACUUAUACUCUGUAGUUUACACUAUUUGAGGAGCUGUUUUUUUGUAGUGGAGUAUUUUUACUCCAUGGUAUCACUUUUUUUAAUUGGGGAUCACAGUUUUCAGUUUUAUCACUGAACACUGGAAAUUGAUCUUCAGUAUUCGUCCAAAAUAAGCUGUUUGCCAAUUAAAAACUGAUAAAUCAUGAAUCACAGCAUUCUGUACUUACAUUACAGUGAAAAGAGUGUUCAACUGACUUUUAAAUGAAUAAAAAAAAAUUUUGGUGAUGAAAUGCAAA